AUGACUAUCAUCAACUGUGAUGGCAUUUCUUUACCAAAAAAUUUGGAUCCAUGUGCCCCAAAACAUUUAAGAUGUGUUAAAAAUGAACUAGGAAAAUAUGAUGACGAAGCAGCAUGUAGGUCCUGUGUUGGGGAACAAAAGCCUUACAUUUCACCUUCUACUUUUAAGACAUUUGUUAUAUCAAUCCAAAACAGGCAAAGUGGAAAUCAUCAACAGCUACCUAAGUCUAGUGCUUGAUUCAUAGGUUUGUUUAGCCGUUACUUUCAAGAAAGAGAUUUGUAUUAGAACUGAUAAGUGCAUAUUAUUCCUAUUGUAGCUAACUAUAAUUUAUCUUUAACAUAGCCAUUCUUUUCUGAUAAGACAAUGGGUAAUAUUACUGCUUUAACUUUGUUUUAUGUAAUAGUCCUAUGGAAUUAUAUCCUUGAAGCAUAUAUUUGAUAGUUAAAAUAUGAUCGAGCUGUCUCCAACCAUACAUGCAUGCAAAAGUUCUGUUUCUUUCACUGAAAUUUGGUGAAGGAUAGAAAUCUGCACUAUCAGAAUCUGCUGAAAGGAAGCCAUAGGUCAGAGAUGGUUCUCCAGCACAAGCCUCAGGUCUUUGGAGCAAUCACCACUGCACAUUUUCAAAACUAGUUUUCUCCUGACCAUGGGGGAAUAUCUGAACAUUAAAAUGGCCUUAUCAAAAGUUGUCUCCAUAAGCCAUUGUGCAUCCCUGAAGCUGGCAAAGGUUAUACAUAUAACAGUCUCCUUCUCUGUGUCUUCCUACCUGUAUAUAAAAUUUGCCAUGGCUGAAGUCUGUCUUUUGGGAAGUUCCAGAGGUAAUUGUCUGGAGCUGACUUAUAGGGCUUCUGUCAAAACGAAUUAGGAUUUCAGCAACCCUUUGGUCAAUUCCAUGACAGUACUAAAAUAGCUGAUUGCCUUACACAUCAGCUGGCCUCACUUAGGAGGAACAACUCAAAGGUUUUAAAAGCAAAAUAGCUAUCAUUCUUCCAUUGCUUCCUACCAGAAAGCUCUCCUGGACCAAAGGAUUUCAAGGGAAUGAGUGUCUUCAUUUUUCUCUCCAUCUGUCUCUAUUUAUAGCUUAUGAGUGUUGGAAAAUACGUGACAAGGAACUGGGAGAGGAAUGGGUUUUAAGACUUUUAGCUCAAGUAUUUUGUUCUGGGGAAGCCUGAGUUGUUCUUGAUGAAAAGGAUAGCCUGAUGGUAAAUUCUUGAGGGAAAGGCAUGUGUUGUGCUUAAGGUACACCCUUGAAAAGUGAAAGUGAUUAGCUUCUGGAAUAAAUCUGCUGUGGAAGCAGAGGGUUCCCCA
rnacentral:lncRNA from 1 species